UGGUUCAAGCCUGUAGUCGUGCCUGGUAGGUAAAUCCGCCGGGCUUAGAUGAGGGGUGAUAACGAGGAAGCUUGCUUCCGAAGUGAGUGAUACCCUGCUUCCAGGAAAAGCCACUAAGCUUCAGCUACACACGACCGUACCGCAAACCGACACUGGUGCGCGAGAUGAGUAUUCUAAGGCGCUUGAAAGAACUCGGGAGAAGGAACUCGGCAAAUUGACACCGUAACUUCGGAAGAAGGUGUGCCUUUAGUAGGUGAAGGGAUUUACUCCUGGAGCCCAAUGAGGUUGCAAAAAAUCGGUGGCUGCGACUGUUUAUUAAAAACACAGCACUCUGCAAACACGAAAGUGGACGUAUAGGGUGUGACGCCUGCCCGGUGCUGGAAGAUUAAAUGAUGGGGUGCAAGCUCUUGAUUGAAGUCCCAGUAAACGGCGGCCGUAACAAUAACGGUCCUAAGGUAGCGAAAUUCCUUGUCGGGUAAGUUCCGACCUGCACGAAUGGCGUAACGAUGGUCACACUGUCUCCUCCCGAGACUCAGCGAAGUUGAAAUGUUUGUGAUGAUGCAAUCUCCCCGCGGAAAGACGGAAAGACCCCAUGAACCUUUACUGUAGCUUUGUACUGGACUUUGAACGGAUCUGUGUAGGAUAGGUGGGAGGCUUUGAAGCAGGGUCGCUAGAUCUUGUGGAGCCAGCGUUGAAAUACCACCCUGGUGCGUUUGAGGUUCUAACCUAGGUCCAUUAUCUGGAUCGGGGACAGUGCAUGGUAGGCAGUUUGACUGGGGCGGUCUCCUCCCAAAGCGUAACGGAGGAGUUCGAAGGUACGCUAGUUACGGUCGGACAUCGUGACGAUAGUGCAAUGGCAUAAGCGUGCUUAACUGCGAGACUGACAAGUCGAGCAGAUGCGAAAGCAGGACAUAGUGAUCCGGUGGUUCUGUAUGGAAGGGCCAUCGCUCAACGGAUAAAAGGUACUCUGGGGAUAACAAGCUGAUACCGCCCAAGAGUUCAUAUCGACGGCGGUGUUUGGCACCUCGAUGUCGGCUCAUCUCAUCCUGGGGCUGUAGCCGGUCCCAAGGGUAUGGCUGUUCGCCAUUUAAAGAGUUACGUGAGCUGGGUUUAAAACGUCGUGAGACAGUUUGGUCCCUAUCUUCCGUGGGCGCUGCAGAUUUGAGGAAGCCUGCUCCUAGUACGAGAGGACCGGAGUGGACACACCUCUGGUGUAUCGGUUGUCACGCCAGUGGCAUUGCCGAGUAGCUAAGUGUGGAAGAGAUAACCGCUGAAAGCAUCUAAGCGGGAAACUCGUUUCAAGAUGAGAUCUGCCGGGGCCUUGAGCCCCCUGAAGAGUCGUUCUAGACCAGGACGUUGAUAGGUCAGGUGUGGAAGC
rnacentral:rRNA from 1 species